UACGUAGGGUGCGAGCGUUGUCCGGAAUUAUUGGGCGUAAAGAGCUCGUAGGCGGUCUGUCGCGUCGAUCGUGAAAACUUGGGGCUUAACCCUGAGCUUGCGGUCGAUACGGGCAUGACUGGAGUUCGGCAGGGGAGACUGGAAUUCCUGGUGUAGCGGUGAAAUGCGCAGAUAUCAGGAGGAACAGCCGGUGGCGGAAGGCGGGUCUCUGGGCCGAUACUGACGCUGAGGAGCGAAAGCGUGGGGAGCGAACGG
rnacentral:rRNA from 1 species